UUAAUUGAAACCAAAAAGAGGUAUGUUACUGUUAAUGACAUUAUUGAAUUUAAAAUUCCAAUUAAA
rnacentral:tRNA from 1 species